rnacentral:tRNA from 1 species
AGGAAUGCGGCUUAAUGGUAGAGUGCUUGCCUAGCAUGCAUGAAGCCCUAGGUUCGAUUCCUCAGUACUA